rnacentral:lncRNA from 1 species
AUAUGCAUAGAUCGAUACAGUUACGCUAACCAGAGUGGAAGCAUAUUUUAAAAAUUUUAAUUUGAUCUAAACAUGUUGAUUUUAAAUUAUAAUCAAGUCUAGAAUCAUAUAACAUACAUAAAUAAAUUUAUGAACAUAGAUCUAAAAUUAAAAACAGCAAGAAGGAGGUAUAUCUAAUUGAUUUUUUCUCCUUCUUCAUC